GGCGCCGAGGGAGGCUCAGGAGACGGAGCCGAGGGAGGUGGAGUCGCAGGAGGCCCCAGGGGCGAGGCCCUGGUGGGCUCUGGAGGUGGAGCCGAAGGAGGCUUUAGGGGCGAAGGCCUGGAAGGCUCAGGAAGUGGAGCCCAUGGAGGUGGCGCCGUAGGAGGCUCCAGAGGUGAAGCCCUGGAAGGCUCUGGAGGCAGAGCCGAGGGAGGUGACGCCGUGGGAGGUGGCGCUGUAGAAGGCUCCAGGAGUGAAGCCCUGGUAGGCUCUGGAGGCAGAGCCGGGGGAGGUGGCGCCGUAGGAGGCUCCAGAGGUGAAGCCCUGGAAGGCUCUGGAGGUGGAGCCAAGGGAGGCUUUAGAGGCGGAGCCGCAGGAGGCUCCAGAGGCGAAUCUCUAGAAGGCUCUGGAGUCUUAGGGAGCAGAGCCGUAGGAGGCUCGGGUGGUGGAGCCGUGGAAGGCUCGAGAGGCGGAGCCGUAGGAGGCUCGAGAGGUGAAUCUCUAGAAGGCUCUGGAGUCUUAGGGAGCAGAGCUGUAGGAGGCUCGGGUGGUGGAGCCGUGGAAGGCUCAAGAGGCGGAGCCCUAGGAAGCUCUGGAGUCUUUGGGAGCAGAGCCAUGAGAGGCUCGGGAGGUGGAGCCGUAGGAGGCUCUGGAGGGGGAGCCGUAGGAGGCUCGGGAGGCAGAGCCAUAGGAGCCUCUAGUGGCCGAGCCCUGGG